rnacentral:rRNA from 1 species
CCUACGGGCGGCAGCAGUAGGGAAUAUUGCUCAAUGGGGGAAACCCUGAAGCAGCAACGCCGCGUGCAGGAUGAAGGUUUUCGGAUUGUAAACUCCUUUUGUUAGAGAAGAUAAUGACGGUAUCUAACGAAUAAGCACCGGCUAACUCCGUUCCAGCAGCCGCGGUAAUACGGAGGGUGCAAGCGUUACUCGGAAUCACUGGGCGUAAAGAGCGCGUAGGCGGGAUAGCAAGUCAGAUGUGAAAUCCUAUGGCUUAACCAUAGAACUGCAUUGUAAACUGUUAUUCUAGAGUAUGGGAGAGGUAGGUGGAAUUCUUGGUGUAGGGGUAAAAUGCGUAGAGAUCAAGAGGAAUACUGAUUGCGAAGGCGACCUGCUAGAACAUAACUGACGCUGAUGCGCGAAAGCGUGGGGAGCAAACAGGAUUAGAUACCCGUGUAGUC